CAGUAGCCGCGGUAAUACGAAGGGGGCUAGCGUUGUUCGGAUUUACUGGGCGUAAAGCGCACGUAGGCGGAUCGAUCAGUCAGGGGUGAAAUCCCAGAGUUCAACUCUGGAACUGCCUUUGAUACUGUCGAUCUGGAGUAUGGAAGAGGUGAGUGGAGUUCCGAGUGUAGAGGUGAAAUUCGUAGAUAUUCGGAGGAACACCAGUGGCGAAGGCGGCUCACUGGUCCAUUACUGACGCUGAGGUGCGAAAGCGUGGGGAGCAAACAGGAUUAGAUACCCCAGUAGUCCCUGUCUCUUAUAA
rnacentral:rRNA from 1 species